GAACCUGCGGAAGGAUCAUUGUCGAAAUCGAACGGAAGAACGACCCGCGAAUCGUCAUUGCGUACUAGACAGAGCCCGUGAGCACCUAACGCUCAUGGGACUCGCGUCGCGUCGGCGUGGGUGUACUCGAGACCAGCGUCGUACCGGCGGACAAACAACGUCAGCACGGAUCGUGCCAAGGAGCUGCAUGGAGAGAAUCGUCGUCCCACGCCUUUGAUAGUCCUCGAUGCGGGACGGGGGGCGGGGGAUGUACGCAAUCUCUACUCAAGUCUAAACGACUCUCGGCAACGGAUAUCUCGGCUCUUGCAUCGAUGAAGAACGUAGCGAAAUGCGAUACUUGGUGUGAAUUGCAGAAUCCCGCGAACCAUCAAUUCUUUGAACGCAAGUUGCGCCCGAAGCCAUUCGGCCGAGGGCACGCCUGCCUGGGUGUCGUGAAUCCCCUUGCCCCUAGGCACCCGCAUGAGCAUUGGCGGGGAUAUAUGCUCGGGCGCAGAAUAUGGUCUCCCGUGGGAUCGGCAUGCACGGCAUGUCGAGGUGCGGUUGGCCGAAAAUCGAGCAAUGGCUGUGACGGGCACCACGGCGUUCGGUGGAUCGAAUGAGAUUGGCUGCGCCGUGGGCUCGGCAUUAGGCGGGCUCCGGACUUUGAGUAUCCCCGAGUGCGACC
rnacentral:rRNA from 1 species